CCGGAGGAGUACAGCAGGAUGUCCAGGUCGGCCACGUUGGAGAACUUGGGGUGCACCUUCUCGCCGGGGUCCACAAAGUGCUCGAUCUCGGCCAUGGUGAACUCUCUGUCGGGGAAGGCACAAACAUGAAGACGUGUCCUGAUUUAAGAUCACUCCUUGUCAGCCCUAAAGCAAGACGGCGCCUUUGCUCCUGAGCCCCCCCCCGGCACCCUGGAAGAAGAGCCCCGCCAAAAUAGAUGGACCGACCCCACUCUCCUUGUGUCAAAAAAUCACCAGCUAUUUUCCUUGCUUUAGUGGGACCUUGUAUGACGACUUUCUGCUUUUGAAAAUAGGGGUUUAUGUCCUUUUUGCGUUCUUUUGACGAAGCUAUCCUUUACUCAAUGAUACGACGCACUUGAAAUGAGUUCCACGCCAGCGCGGGGUGAUUUCAACUUACUGAACGGAGCAACGGAAACUCAACUUUAUUAGUGAUGGGAAUUCCGGCUCCUUUUAGAGUGUGUCGUUCACUUCAAAGAGCCGGCUCUAGGAGCCACACACAUGAAUUUUAACAAAAAAGUACGUUUUGAUGCUGGAAAAAACGGGUUACACUCCCAAUAAAUAAAAGAACCAACCAUGAAAGUUGAGACCAGCGCUUUUUAAAUGUCGUGAAAUAUGAACUUGUCGAUUGAUUGGACCACACCCGUUUAAAAAGCCACAGCUGUGGCCGCGGCUGAAACGUGGCACAAGGGCGCAGACGCUACUGCGACGACUCGCCAGCAGCGAGCUAGUUGGAAGCUCCAUUCAUUGACUGGACUGAGCUGUCCUGAUUGAAGCCGAACCUGGCGUCGGCACAGAAAGACUUUCUUGCACUAUAAACGAACCUGUUCCUUGACUGCGAGCCUCAAAGGGGCGAGGAUUUGCUCCAUGUCGCCGUCCAUGGUUGUUCGUCCUUCUUCCAGUCGUCGCUGCUGCAGCUCCUGCCACAGGUUCUUUUUCUUGUUCCUGUUGGAAAGGCGAGCCGACGUGGAAAGGGGCCGGUUCCGGAGGCGAUCUAACCGAACAGGCCGGACCCGCAGCACCGAGCACAGCGAGGGAAUGUCGGGGAUGGUCCUCAGCGGUGCCGAUGCAGAAGCCCCCCGGAGAAGAACAAGCAUGGACAGACAGGAACGCUUGAGGAGAAUGAUGA